rnacentral:rRNA from 1 species
UACGUAGGGUGCGAGCGUUGUCCGGAAUUAUUGGGCGUAAAGGGCUCGUAGGCGGUUUGUCACGUCAGGAGUGAAAACUCGGGGCUCAACCCCGAGCCUGCUUCUGAUACGGGCAGACUAGAGGUAUGCAGGGGAGAACGGAAUUCCUGGUGUAGCGGUGAAAUGCGCAGAUAUCAGGAGGAACACCGGUGGCGAAGGCGGUUCUCUGGGCAUUACCUGACGCUGAGGAGCGAAAGUGUGGGGAGCGAACAGGG